rnacentral:rRNA from 1 species
AGAGUUUGAUCCUGGCUCAGGACGAACGCUGGCGGCGUGCUUAACACAUGCAAGUCGAACGGAAAGGCCCUGCUUUUGUGGGGUGCUCGAGUGGCGAACGGGUGAGUAACACGUGAGUAACCUGCCCUUGACUUUGGGAUAACUUCAGGAAACUGGGGCUAAUACCGGAUAGGAGCUCCUGCUGCAUGGUGGGGGUUGGAAAGUUUCGGCGGUUGGGGAUGGACUCGCGGCUUAUCAGCUUGUUGGUGGGGUAGUGGCUUACCAAGGCUUUGACGGGUAGCCGGCCUGAGAGGGUGACCGGCCACAUUGGGACUGAGAUACGGCCCAGACUCCUACGGGAGGCAGCAGUGGGGAAUAUUGCACAAUGGGCGCAAGCCUGAUGCAGCAACGCCGCGUGCGGGAUGACGCCUUCGGGUUGUAAACCGCUUUCAGCAGGGACGAAGCUUUUUGUGACGGUACCUGCAGAAGAAGCACCGGCUAACUACGUGCCAGCAGCCGCGGUAAUACGUAGGGUGCAAGCGUUGUCCGGAAUUAUUGGGCGUAAAGAGCUCGUAGGUGGUUCGUCGCGUCUGCUGUGAAAGUCCGAGGCUUAACCUCGGAUCUGCAGUGGGUACGGGCGGACUAGAGUGCGGUAGAGGAGAUCGGAAUUCCUGGUGUAGCGGUGGAAUGCGCAGAUAUCAGGAGGAACACCAGUGGCGAAGGCGGUUCUCUGGACCUUUCCUGACGCUGAGGAGCGAAAGCGUGGGGAGCGAACAGGCUUAGAUACCCUGGUAGUCCACGCUGUAAACGAUGUCUACUAGCCGUCGGGGUCCUUAGUGACUUUGGUGGCGCAGCUAACGCGAUAAGUAGACCGCCUGGGGAGUACGGCCGCAAGGUUAAAACUCAAAUGAAUUGACGGGGGCCCGCACAAGCGGUGGAGCAUGUGGUUUAAUUCGACGCAACGCGAAGAACCUUACCUGGCCUUGACAUGCAGAGAACUUUCCAGAGAUGGAUUGGUGCCUUCGGGAACUCUGACACAGGUGCUGCAUGGCCGUCGUCAGCUCGUGCCGUGAGGUGUUGGGUUAAGUCCCGCAACGAGCGCAACCCCUACAUUUAGUUGCCAGCGGAUCAAGCCGGGGACUCUAGAUGGACUGCCUGCGCAAGCAGUGAGGAAGGCGGGGACGACGUCAGGUCAUCAUGGCCCUUACGCCUAGGGCUACACACGUGCUACAAUGGACGGUACAGAGGGUCGCUACACGGCAACGUGAUGCCAAUCUCAGAAAGCCGUUCUCAGUUCGGAUCGAAGUCUGCAACUCGACUUCGUGAAGCUGGAAUCACUAGUAAUCGCGUAUCAGCCAUGACGCGGUGAAUACGUUCCCGGGCCUUGUACACACCGCCCGUCACACCAUG